rnacentral:rRNA from 1 species
AGAGUUUGAUCCUGGCUCAGGACGAACGCUGGCGGCGUGCUUAACACAUGCAAGUCGAACGAGACGAUUGAAAGCUUGCUUUUGAAAGUCGAGUGGCAAACGGGUGAGUAACGCGUAGACAACCUGCCGUAAAGAUGGGGACAACAGUCCGAAAGGACUGCUAAUACCGAAUGUUGUAAAUCUUCCGCAUGGAAGACUUACUAAAGGUGGCCUCUACUUGUAAGCUAUCGCUUUACGAUGGGUCUGCGUCUGAUUAGCUGGUUGGUGGGGUAACGGCCUACCAAGGCGACGAUCAGUAGCCGGUCUGAGAGGAUGAACGGCCACAUUGGAACUGAGACACGGUCCAGACUCCUACGGGAGGCAGCAGUGGGGAAUCUUCCGCAAUGGGCGCAAGCCUGACGGAGCAACGCCGCGUGAGUGAAGGAGGGUUACGACUCGUAAAGCUCUGUUGUCGGGGACGAACGUGGAGACGGCAAAUAGUCGUUUCCAAUGACGGUACCUGACGAGGAAGCCACGGCUAACUACGUGCCAGCAGCCGCGGUAAUACGUAGGUGGCGAGCGUUGUCCGGGAUUAUUGGGCGUAAAGGGAGCGCAGGCGGGAAGGUAAGUCUAUCUUAAAAGUGCGGGGCUCAACCCCGUGAGGGGAUGGAAACUAUCUUUCUUGAGUGCAGGAGAGGAAAGCGGAAUUCCUAGUGUAGCGGUGAAAUGCGUAGAUAUUAGGAGGAACACCAGUGGCGAAGGCGGCUUUCUGGACUGUAACUGACGCUGAGGCUCGAAAGCGUGGGGAGCGAACAGGAUUAGAUACCCUGGUAGUCCACGCCGUAAACGAUGAAUGCUAGGUGUAGGAGGUAUCGACCCCUUCUGUGCCGGAGUUAACGCAAUAAGCAUUCCGCCUGGGGAGUACGGCCGCAAGGCUGAAACUCAAAGGAAUUGACGGGGGCCCGCACAAGCGGUGGAGUAUGUGGUUUAAUUCGACGCAACGCGAAGAACCUUACCAGGGCUUGACAUUGAGUGAAAGGACAAGAGAUUGUCCCCUCUCUUCGGAGACACGAAAACAGGUGGUGCAUGGCUGUCGUCAGCUCGUGUCGUGAGAUGUUGGGUUAAGUCCCGCAACGAGCGCAACCCUUAUCCUUUGUUGCCAGCACGUUAUGGUGGGAACUCAAAGGAGACUGCCGCGGACAACGCGGAGGAAGGCGGGGAUGACGUCAAGUCAUCAUGCCCCUUAUGUCCUGGGCUACACACGU